AUUUCAAAUGGUGCCCUAUGUUUAGCAAGCUAAAAACACUGUUGCUCAAUGAGUGGUCCAUGGUUGCUAAGUUCACUGGAGUGAUUUACUUUCUACAACACUCACCUGUUCUAGAGACGCUUACGCUUCGACUUGAUUUUGAUACUAGUCAGAAGAAAUGGUGUGUGAUCGAAACAGCUGAAAGGUGCAACUCAAGGAAACAAUCAUUACUAUCGAAGCAUUUCAAGCUAGUCAAAAUCGUAUGUGACACGAAGAAUGAUAAAAGGGUUCACCAUAUUGUAACGAUUCUCCUUACCUAUGGAGUACUUUCUGAGCAAAUUGACAUCCAAUAAAGUUGGUUUUCCUGCUUCCGUUCCGAGCUGGAGCUGAAGCCUUUCCUACAGUUCAAGACCAUGAAGUUGCUGCGCGUUGUCAACCGGGAUGGUGCGCCUGCCUGUGUCCCGUAAAUUGCCUUGUGCUUGCUUCGGUACAGGCCGCGCAUGUUCAAGUGGCUUUGCUUGUUUCUUGAACUAAGUCAGGCCCGAGCUGGUUUUCCCCGCUGAAGGCCUAUGUUU